rnacentral:rRNA from 1 species
UACAGAGGUCCCGAGCGUUGUUCGGAUUCACUGGGCGUAAAGGGUGCGUAGGCGGCCAAGUAAGUCUGAUGUGAAAUCUCCAGGCUCAACCUGGAAAUGGCAUUGGAGACUGCUGGGCUGGAGGCUUGGAGGGGGGACUGGAAUGCUUGGUGUAGCAGUGAAAUGCGUAGAGAUCAAGCGGAACACCUGUGGCGAAGGCGAGUCCCUGGACAAGUCCUGACGCUGAGGCACGAAAGCUAGGGGAGCAAACAGG